rnacentral:rRNA from 1 species
CCUACGGGAGGCAGCAGUGGGGAAUAUUGCACAAUGGGGGAAACCCUGAUGCAGCAACGCCGCGUGAAGGAAGACGGUUUUCGGAUUGUAAACUUCUGUUCUUAGUGAAGAAUAAUGACGGUAGCUAAGGAGCAAGCCACGGCUAACUACGUGCCAGCAGCCGCGGUAAUACGUAGGUGGCAAGCGUUGUCCGGAAUUACUGGGUGUAAAGGGAGCGCAGGCGGGAAGCCAAGUCAGCUGUGAAAACUACGGGCUUAACUUGUAGACUGCAGUUGAAACUGGUUUUCUUGAGUGAAGUAGAGGUUGGCGGAAGUCCGGGUGUAGCGGUGAAAUGCGUAGAUAUUCGGAGGAACACCGGUGGCGAAGGCAGCCAACUGGGCUUUAACUGACGCUGAGGCUCGAAAGUGUGGGGAGCGAACAGGAUUAGAUACCCCAGUAGUC